AGGAGAGCUUGCUAAACUAUGAAAUUUUAAUUCAGAGAGCUAUGUAAAAGAACAAAAUAGAUAGAAAUAGGAGAAGAGGAAAUUGAAUUCAUGUUGUGCAUGAGACUCGUGAGAUAAUAGCAAUCAGUACUCAGAAAGCGACCAUUCAGAAAAUUGGAAGUAGCUUGGAUUUUUUUUUUUUUUUUUGAGAGACAGGUAGCACGCUACCCAUUUCGUUUAUUUUAUUUAGAAAUAAACUUAGCUAGAAAUGUGAAUCAACUAAGAUUCGAACUUGGGUCUCGGAUACCAACCACCAAGCCCUUUGCCACUUGCUCUAGGGACGGUCGGUGAGUAGCUUGGAUUAUUAAUGUUUAAAGUAUAAGACUUGGCUCUUAAUAACAAAACAAUGGAGGUAAGAGUAUAGGACUUGGGUCUUAAUAAGAAAACAAUGGUGCGAAAGGACUUCAGAAGCUGAAUUGUAAUUUUUGUAAUUGAAAAAUUAAAAAGAAAACAGCAUAAUAUUACAUGGUUGUAUGUGGGUGUUGAUGAGGACUGAUCUGCACUGAUAAAGCUUGCAAAUUAGUUGGGAACCCUGGUUGGAUGAUAGAGAGACCUGCCCUUUUUCACUAUAAAAGGAGCUUGGACACAUUUUUAUCUUCUUGUAUUUUAUUUUCCCAUCUGGUCCAAAAGCAGGAGCACUUUAAACAGCUAUUUAAAGGCAUGCAUUCAGAUCCCAAGUUCUCACCAACUUUCAACUCGUUAACUCCUCCAAUUGGCAUGGAGUAUUUCCGGCAAGAGCAUCUCCAUGGGUCUUGAAAGCAGAAACUGGCUUUUUCACUUUUGUAUUUUUGUUUUUGAAAUACUAUCCUCGCCACUAAACUAAUCAGUUCAUCGUGGCAGUUUGCUUCGGCGAACACUCUGGAGCUUUGCCCGAUACAUGACGGACCGGCAAGUCACAACUCUGGCAAUGGUGAACUCCUAUUGAUUCACACUCUCUCACUUUUACUUUUCCAGCUGUUCUGUGGAGAAAGGAAUAAAUUAACACCGCUUUCAGUAGUCCUAGACCUUUUAUUUGGACUGGCUUCAGGAGAGAUCAAAGGGUCUCAAUUUGUGUAGCAGCAAUAUAAGUUCCCUACGUGUGUUUGCAUAAAUGGUUUGGCAAAAAGCAUACAAAUCGUUUUUGCUGAAGGCAAUCUCCUCUUUCAGCCAUGUUACAAGUUGUAAACACUUGGAUAUUCUCUAGCUCAUUAGCACAAAUGACACCUUCAAUAGCUCAAGUACCAACCAAUUAGGAUGGAACCUAAAGUGUUUAGGCAAAUUUCUGGGUAGGAAUCUACAAAAGAACAGACUAAUCACUUCUCGGAGCAAAAGAGGAGUCAAAUAUUACACUUCUUAGAAGAGAAGAAUAUAGGAGCUUGUUCUAUGAAUCAGGUACGCCUAGCAAGCACCAGUGGUUGCAGUCUUGGGACUUCUCAGCCGCAAUCUGCUCUUGUACUGUGCUAUUUUUCAUUCUAUGUAUCGAAGGGUGCCCAUCCUUCCUAUAAUCUGAGCCUGCUGAUAUUGAGGUAUAUUACUGGGGUUUUCAUCUGUUUUAGAAUUUGCUCCAACGAUCUCAUCUUUGAAGGGUAAUGAACUAGGCACAAUUGGUUGAAGAUUAAUUGGCUCGGUUUCCUUAUGGCAUUGUCCUCCCGAGUUCCAUCGCCCGCCCCUGCAACCAAAGAAGAAGUUUCAGUUCCCAUGACACAAAGCAAUUUGAUGGAAGGUUAACUUGCUAUUUGCUUUUAGUAGUCCCAUAGCUCAAAGCUGCUACCAAUCCCAGAAGAUGCUCUGCCUUUUUACUGGGACAGAGCCUGACUCCAGGUGUCCACUAUUUAGUCUGAACUGAAUUACCAAACUGAACUGAGUCGCUUCAGUUGACUCAUAAUGGCCGCCGGAUAAACAGAAUAAAACUAAACUGAUGGAAUAUAUCAAGAACAUAAUACAAUAUAUUUGUAAUAUGAUGAUCAGACAAUUUUGAUGCUUAACCACAAAUAGAAAUGAAUGAAUGACAUUAUGAAUAAUAAUAUAUGAUCAACAAGUAUAUAAAUUUCUACUAUAUACAAAUAAAUACAUUCAUACUUAUGCCUCUAUUCAUGCGAUAAUGAAAUUCAUACAUGCAAGUUAUGUCAUUUCUACUUACUAUUUCAUUAUCCUAAUCACGUGUCAUCCGACUUCAAGCAUGAGUCAAUUGGUAGCGGAUACACCGCUUUCAUCUUGGCAUUAGGUGGCGAAAUUGUCGCCCACCCGCCGCCAUAAGUCCAUAGCUAGUGAAGUCGCCUCUUUAUAUUGGCAUUAGAUGGCAUGUGCCCCACACCCCCGACCAUAGAAUUAUAGAUAGCAACUUCAUUUCUCUUACCUUCACCUCGGCAUUAGGUGGUAUUCCGCACACUCUCGAUCGUAGGUUCAUAGGUAGCAAGUCACACCUUGGCAUUAGGUGGCAUCCCGCACACCCCCGGCCAUAGGUUUCAGGAUUCCGGAAUGAUCACCUCUUGUAUGGUCUCAAUGGUCCGUUAUUUUCACCCUACAUUAUUAACCUUCUUAGGUUUCAUAUCCGUGUGAUUACACUAUCAUUAUGUUUUUUAACCUAUAUUCAAUGACACUAUGUUCUUGAAUGUUUAUAUGUUGAGUUCUCUAGUAUCCCUAGAGAAUGUCAACCUAUUUUCUUAGUCCACAAUAUGGGUAUAUAGAACAACACAUGCAUUUUACUCAUACCUUGGUAGUUAUUCAUUCUAUAUAAUAUAUGUCUCAUACAUGUAUAUUUACUAGUUAAACUAUUAUUUAACAUGCAUAAACUUAAAUUUGGUUUAUUAUUAUCUAGACAUGAAAGUGACCCAAUUACUUCGGUGAAACACAACCUACCUCGAUUCGUUCAUAAUUGCUUGUAGACAUUUGCAAUUAGGUUCCCGUAGGCUACUUGCUCUCCUCUGUUCAAUUAAUUGACGGUUAGUGGUUGCCUUCUCCACCGCAGCCUUGUAUUGGUUCCUGUUGGUGUCAGGACCUCUCCCUGAUGUUGCUGAACCAUUCACCUUGUAGUUGCCUUGGGAGUUGGUAACCCCUUGCAUUCGGAGUAUCUGUUUACUCUUUCUUAUCAUCGCAGCCAUGGUCUGCUCCUGUAGUUUCGCUUGUUCGAAGGCUUGAGCCAAUGUUCUAGGCUGUAACAUUUUAACCGCUGAUUUGAUUUCGUCUUUUAACCCGCUUAGGAAGCUAGAAAGAAAAUACUCCGGAGAGAACUGAGACUUGGUGGUAAGUAAUCUAGCUCGCAAGUCCUCGAAUUGCUCUUGAUAUUCUUCUACUGUCCCAGUUUGCACCAGCUUGUUAAACUCUUCUACUACAUCUACCAACCCUCUUACAUCAAAUCGCCUGCACACCUCCUCGGCAAGUUCGGCCCAACUGAUAACCUCCUUCUCAGCUAGAUACCCUUGAAACCAAGUGUCGGCCUUAGCUUCCAAGUGAAGAGCAACCAAUUCAAUUUUUUGAUUCUCCUUGAUACCAUAUAUAUCAAAGUACCUCUCACACCUUCUCACCCAACUUCUCGGAUUCUCCCCCACGAAGGUUGGGAAUUCCAAUUUAGGCAGUGAGAAUUGAAACCCGGAUCUACUUUGUGUGAAAUUUGUAUGAUUAUCCUCUUUUGUAUGAAAAGUAGGUGGGGUAGGAAGUAUACCUCGCUCUUCGUGACUCAGAGAUGAUGAAGCUCCUUUAGUAGCUGCAGAUUGUGGCGCAUUCAUCAAUAGUUCUAUUAUUUGCUCCAGUUUCCUUGUAGUGUUUGCUGACUCCCUAUAAAGUGCAUCAUAGUGGGAUUGCCCUUCGGUACGUAUAGCUUCCAUUCGACUACUGAGAUUAUCGAACUUCUUCUCAUUUUCUACAGUUAGUUCCUGGAGUUGUUGCUCCAGGGCGUGAACGUGUUCAUCAAGUACCUUCAAUCGGGUUCCUUCGGCCAUUGUUUUGCUAAUAAAUUUGAACCGGUUACCUUUUGCAGACCCAAUUUUGCUCAAUCUCUGGAGGCACCAGGUGGGAACUUCGAACAGAUGGCGGGCGUUUAAUUUCCCUGCCAAUUCUGUGAGUUCAAGAACCGGGGAAGGUUCUUACAGCGGUCCCCUUUGUCCAGGAUCACCCAGAGGCCGUCGAUGUCGGAUUCAACAGUUUGUAAAACCGGAGUCCCUGCGACUGCGCUGCACCGAUCCCUGGGAUCUAAACCGCUCUGUACCAGAUUGUAACAAUCCUGACGUUAAGCAACCACAGUGAAUUGUAGGAUGGCUUUAGGAGUGAUGGAUGGAUACCUGAUCCUGCUCCUUGUCCGGUGAAGUUCCUUCGACUGAGGAUGAGGAAGGGAAAUGAUGGGAAUUCGAUCUGAAUUCUGUAUCCAAGAGCCGGUAAUUCCAGGGAAGGAUGAACAGAGAUCAGAUGAGCAGAGAGAGAAGGGAAUAGAGGGAAUAGAGGAGAUAGAGGAGGUAGAAGAGAAGAGAGGGGAAGAGAACAGGAAUGGGGGAGAAACUGGGAUUUUUUUAUAUUUCAGCUUAACCUAUUACAGGCGUGAGGAGAUGGAUACUUAUACCGCUCUAUUGUGGGCACUAAAAUGUAAGAAUUACAAUGGUGGGUAUCUAAUGUAUUAAUACUAAGUGGACUAUUGUGGGCCUAAUCCUGGCUUUAUGCUGAGUCCUCGCCUGGUUCAUCUUCAGUUCGCCUCUCUCUCAGUUUCCGGAGUCGGGUCGACGACGCAACAGUGAGGAGGCGCCGACCCGCUACCUGAAAGCUGAUCCAAGACGCGGAGUCGGGCUCGGUGAUGCUACAGAGAGAGAGCGCGGACCCACUGCCCGAAAACCAUUCUUCUUUAGAUUACGCCGCCGCUGUUCUUCCUCACCUUGGAUCCUGCCGUCUCACCCCUGCGGCCCUGCUUCCGACCUCUUCCCUUCCGGCCGCUCGCCGAACGCCAUCGGAAGCGCUCCUCUUCAGAAAUCGAAGAUCGACGAUCGGGUUCUUCACUCUUCAGAAAUCGAAACCCUCCUCGUCGCCUCUUCCUCUUCCGCUUCCGCUCCCGCUUCCGCUUCCGCUAUCCAACGAUAGAUCAGUAAUCGGGUGGUUCUUUACAAACCAGCUACGAUUUGAGUUUUCAUUCUUCAAAGCAAAAGUUGCAAGCUUUUAGUCCAUCUGAUGGAUACUUUUUUAUACACAAAUGGCUCGAGUGCUUUAAUUGAAUGUGUCCAUUCUCUGUUAUGCACAAAGAAGACCCAAACAUAGAGCUAAAUAAUCUUCAUUAACUUAGGGACCAGGAACUCUUGUAUUAUACCUAAUCAAUUUCAUGAUCUUGUCGACACUUGCAAAAGGAAAAUUUUGUUGUGGUCUUUCAUGGACCAUUGACUCAGUGGGGUUUCUACACUUUAUGUAUCUUUUAUUUGUUUACUGUUUAGAAUUUAGAUAUGCUAGUAUGCACUGUGCAAAGUGCUAGUUUCAUCUUGUAUUUAGUUUCUAACUAUGCUUGUACGUGAACCUUUUAUAUUUUACAUUUAAAUAGACUAUCUUGAUCUCUUAUUUGCUUAAUUAUUUAUUAUAUUUGAGGUAUAAUAUAGUUUACUAUUUUUUACUUAAUUAGUUUAAUUUUGUAUCUUUAUUCUUAUAUUCUUAAAAAUAUAAGUAUUUAUGCUAAUAGACAUAAAUCUUGAGAGAAAAAAAACUUAAUUUAAUAUAUCGAAUUUUUGAUCCUGAAUUUUUAAUUGGUGAACGUAUAAUAUCCGUAUAAAUCAUGUAUCCGAAUAAUUGGCGAAUUCGUUUUUUAGCCCUUUUUUUCAACGAAUUUAAAAAUUAGAAGGCGAGUUUUAUCCGAAUUAUAUCCGUACCGAAUUUUUGCCGAAUCCGAAUUAACUAACUAUGCCCCAAAUACUGCCAGCUCCGACGAUGCCCUAGCCCGUGGCCCCGCCGGAGUUCCACCCGCACAGCUCUCUCACCGAUCACUCCGCUCUCGCCGGAUCGCUCCGCCAAGCUCGCCCUUCUUCAACUUCUGCUGCAGCCGCUAUCUCGCUCUACUGUGUAAAGUUGACAUUUUUUUUUUUUUUUUGCUUACUCCCUCUGUUAACUACUACUUCUACCAUUUAUUCUUCAGGGUUGUUACACCCACCUCCUCUCUCUCUCUCUCUCUCUCUCUCUCUCUCAAGGUGUAGUAGUGACGACAUGCUCACGUCACUCCCCCACUCCUCCGCCGCCGUUCUUCCUCAGCGGAGCCGUUUACUCGUGGCGCAAAGGGCGGCGAGGCGCCCCAUCUCCGUUACCAACGCCGUUGCCGACGAAACCCUAGACAAGGCUUCGGUGGCGACAGGGGCGCCACCCACCCUCUCCUUCCCCAUUUUGGUGCGAACCUGCUAAGCCUCACCUAUUUUGUCUUUUCUUUUUUAUAUAAAUAUAUAUAUUUAGCAAUCCCUAAUUUUCCAGCUCGAUUCAUGAUGGAUGCAAUGGGAGCCUUUUCUUUUGAUGAUUAGUUGGUAAAGUUUGAUUUUUGGGUCGGUGUAGAGGAAUGGGGCUUUCUGAUGUGAGUUUAGGGUUUAGGGUUUAAGGGGCCAAAAUGUGGAUGGGAGAACCCAUGAUUGAAAUGUCACAUACACUGUGAUUAAAUGUUGAGAUCAAUAAAAAGGGCUAAAGUUGACAACUUUAAAACAAGCUUUCCCUACUUAGUAGUUUGUUUAUUUUUUCUAUAGCAUUCUGCAAAUUCCUAUUUUGAUUCGCGUAGGUGCUGUAGGAGCCUUUUUUUUGGUAGUAAUUGUCAUGAAAUUUGUUCUCUUGGCUUAGGAACCGGUGUUGGCGAUUCCAGACUUCUGGCCUGAGGUUAGGGUUUAGGGUUUAGGGGCUUUUUUUUGGAGGGCAAAAUGUAGAUGAGAGAACCCAUGGUUGAAAACGCAUUCUGAGAUGUGUAAAAAGGAGUUAAGUUGAUUACUUUUGAGGGGUUUAUUACUUUAAAAAAGGUUUAAGCAUGUAUAAGUAUUGAGGGACACGAAGGAACUUUUGUGUGAUACUUUUGAUUUUUUUUAAGAAAAUCCAAUUAUCACAAUUUUUUCCCUUAGUUUCCUUGUGUGGCUGUACACUUAUCUUUACUUCAUCUGUAGAUUGUGCAAUAUUUUUGUUAAGAAAAUUAAGUCAAUGCUAUGAGGAGUAUUUGAUAGCAUUAUGGUCUAGAAUAAUGUGAAGACAAUCUUUUAUAGGCAUCAACUAUGCUGUUCGCUUUCAUUCUUGUUCAUGUGGUUGAACUUUAAUGCGAUUGCUCUUUAAAUGACUUCCUGAUUUGGUUUAGUCUGAGAUGGAUUUAACGUAGAAAUCUAAACAAUUUUAUCUAUCGACAACUAUUUCUGUUAGCUAAACAAUUUAAUCUAUCGACAAAUAUUUCUGUCGAUUUAUUGGUUUGAAUUGGUUUUUGAAAGUUCAAACUAAAAGCUAACAGAUUCUACCAGUUUGAAAUAUCUUUUAACUGAGAUAAAACUGACUACUAGAGAAAAGUGAUUAAACCGGGCCAAAAAAAAAAGACUUGCUUUGGUUUACUGAUUCGGCCUCUUUUUUUUUGGCCCAGCCCCUUGUUCAAAUAUAUUCUUGAUCUAAAGAUACUCUCAGAAAGAGUCGAACUACAGGUAAGUAACGUGAAAAACUAUUCAUUGAGUUUCAAGUAGAUGCUGUAUCUUGUUAUGCUGUGCUGAAUCAGUUAAUUCUCUAUUUCUUUACCUAUGGAACCAUAUAUUGCAGAUGAUUAACUGGUGGCAUGAGAUGUUCCAUGCUCCGUAAUUGCACUCAGAUUCUUCAUAAAUUUACCUUGUGAACUUGUUAGAACUUUCGAUUACUUUAUGAUGAACUUCAUGCAAGGGAAUCAAAUAUGUACUGAGCGUCAAGAAGUGUUCAGAUCAUUGAGAUUCCUCAUACAUUCUCAGUAGGCCUUAAAAUAUUAGUUCUGUUCAUUUAGUUUAUUGAUUCCCAUAUCAGAUAGGUUGCAAUUUUAAUCAGGUCUUUUUGAGUAAAACUAUAUUAUUGGUUUUUAUUGUUGGCUUUAGGUGGUUUAGAUGUCAAGUAUAAUGUGGUUAAAAAGUUUCGAAAAUCAUUAUGGAUAUCUUUUGAAAGUUGAUUUAUAGAUAUAUUAGAAUUUCAAUUUUUCUUGAUGUAUUAGAGGCCAUAUUGCAUUAAUUAGAAAUAAGCUAUCUGUCACAUUCAACUGAAAUGACGAGCUGUUGUUGUAUUAGAUACUCAAAUUAUUAAGUCAAAAAACUGGGGAGAUAGCAGUGUACCUGAAGUAUAAAAUAGUUAAAAUGAAUAUCUCCAAGCUGUAGCAUCUAUAUUGAGUGAAAGCUUUCAUUUCCUGUCCUUGACUAUCACAUUUGGUUCCUAGAUGUUUUUGACCUUGUUAUUUCGCUUUCUUUAAUAAAUAAAUUUGCAACUUGAUUUGAAGUAUCAUGCAGAAUAAUUUUUUUCCUCAGAUUUGCUUUGAAGAUGUGUUUCGGUGUAAAACCAUAAGUUUGAUUUUCCGUGAAUGUGGUCUCAUCAAAUUUGUAAUGUAAUACCUAGUAUUGUUUAUAACUUUUUGGCAUGGCUGAAGAAAGCUAGAUAUAGAAAUCUAUAAACAUUUCCUGAGGUAUAGUGCAUUUUAAAAUGGAUACCUGAACAUUAAAAAUUUUGAUUUCAUUAUUUUUCGUUAUGGUAUAUUUGAUGUAACUAUCUCGAUGCUAGAAAUUAAUAGGGUUUGUAAGUUUUUGAACACAAAUACUCUUUGACCCCACAGACUAUUUCUUUUUGAUUGAAUUAACUUUUCUGGGAGAGAUCAUCAAGUUCCGACAAAACUUGAUGCAAUUUCUAUAGUCAUAUUUAAAAACAUGUUAUAGAUCACGUUAUGUCUGUACUUUUUUUUUAUCAAAACUAGGUUUUUUUUGGAACAUACUCUGCUUCAUGCUGAUAUCGUCUAAGUGAAAUUUAUCUUUAUUAGGUGAAUGGCUGUACUGGAAAAAUGGGAAAAGCUGUUGCUGAAGCAGCAGUUUCUGCUGGCAUUCAGUUAGUUCCUGUAACAUUCAGCAGCAAAGAGAAUCCUAGUAGAACGCUACAAGUUGGCAGUAUGGAUAUGCACGUACAUGGCCCAUCAGAAAGAGAAUAUAUUCUCUCUUCUGUCCUUGAUGAAUUCCCGAAUCUUGUACUUGUUGACUAUACUGUACCAGAUGCUGUGAAUGGUAAAAUAUUGCUACUUGUCUUCUUCCUUUUUUUUCUGCAUUUAUUCCUUUGUUGUAUAUUCACAUUAUGUAUGGAAUAGUCCAUAUAUACUCCAAGAAGAACUGUUUUCACAUUCGCAUCCUAGUUAUCUCCUUAAACAGAAACGAACUGCCCGGAGGAUUAUAUGGUUGACUUCUGCAUGGAGGGAAGUAUUGGGAUUUUCAUUUACUUUUUUAAGCGCUAUAUUCAAAAAAGAACUUGUAGGUUACAUUUGUAAAAUUCCUUUACUAUUGAUGGCAGUGUUGGUGCCUAAUUUUUUCUAUACAUUCACAGUCCACUUUUACCAAUAACCCGAACACCAGUAUCAAGGUAUUUGAAAAGUAUGGAACUCAAUCUUGAUUUAUUUUUCGGGUAUCAAAGCUCUUUAGCUAAGCUUCAUAGAGGUAAAAGGAUUUUGGAACUUAGCAUUUGAUUAUCAUCAUUAUUCUUGAACUUGUAAGCAUUUGAUAUUAGGCAAUUUAGUACUGUCAGUAGUCUCCACAUUGAUGUAGGGGGAAAUUACUUUUUCAUGAUGUUUUUGAUGUUGUUCUAGUAUAGUUAAUCUGCAUUUAGACAAUUAUCUUUAUUUCAAAAUGGUAACUUUUUUCUUGUAGAUAAUGCUGAACUUUAUUGCAAACUCGGUGUGCCGUUUGUAAUGGGCACAACGGGAGGAGACAGGGAGAAGUUGUACAAAACAGUGCAGGAUGCAAAUGUUUAUGCUGUAAUAUCUCCCCAGAUGGGCAAACAGGUAAAACCCAUAUUCCUGAGUUUAGUUAGAGCUUGUUUGGCUUGGCUAGAGCUUCAACAUAAGUGGUGUUUGAGUCAAGUUAUUUAAAGAAGCAUUAACAGGUUUCUCAUUAGAAUAUUGUCAAUAGUUUUCCGCUGCUGCAGGAGCUAAAAUCUUCAAAUUAGAUCUUCUACUUUAAUGCCCAGAAGCCUAGUUCGCUUCAGCUGCUUGGAAUAAGAGAAUUUGCUCUAGAAGCCAAGCCAAACAGGUGCUUAAUGACAUAGUUUUUGGUCCAUUGGUGAGAAAUCCCAAAUAUAAGCAAGUUGUACUUUUUACUAGGUUGUUGCAUUUCUUGCUGCCAUGGAGAUAAUGGCUGAGCAGUUUCCUGGUGCUUUUUCUGGAUAUCAUAUGGAGGUACAAUUCCACUGUAGUUCUUUUUUUUUUUCCUGUGUAUUUCUCCAGUUUCCAAGCUUCUACUGGAAAAUAACUUCAAUCCAAUUAGAGUUUUCUUGAAUUCCAUUCAUGUUUACAGGGACUAACCUUAUAAUUUCCUAUAUUCUUAUCAAAUUAACUACAGUUAAGUAUUUAUAGCAACUCUUCUAUUGAUUAACUACAGUAUUGGUGUAUUUAUAGCAACUCUUUUAGAUUGGAUAACACUUAUCCUAAAUGAUUUACAUGCAUGAAGUUUACAAUUAUUAAGGCACAUCCCUGACCUUGGCGACCAGUCCUCCAACCUCUUUUAGCUAUGAAAUUGUUUACUUUUACUUUCUGUUGGAAAAACUUUCUACGUUUCAUUCCAUGUUAUAAGAAGUUCCUCUUGAGUUGUUUAAGCUAGCUUAGCAGAGUGAUCCAAGUUUUUUCUCAUCAAAUAUGACAGACAACCUAGCAAGUGCAAUGCAUGUCCUGAAAAAUUCUUGAUUAUGAGGGCCUUGCGGUGUACUAAAAUGAAACUUCUAGAUUGCAACAACAAAGGAAAAGCUCACGAGCGCACAAGUUACUGCUGGACAAAUAGUUCUAAAUCCAAACAGGCCUUAGUAAAAGAACUUUUAUCGGGGCUAAGUCUCUUAUUGUGCUUGCCUUUUUUUUUUUCUAGUGGAAGGACUAUUCUUAAGUAAUGAAAUAUAAGUAUCUAAGCAAAAAACCAUAUGAUCAAUCACUAAUACUUUAUUAUCAUCAAAACCAACUAGAGAAACUUGCUGAAACUGUGAUGCUAACACUUUCUGCAUGUUUUUGGCCUUGUAUUACAUUCUGCAGCCCUAUAUCAUUAUUAUAUGAAGGGAUCAAAUUACCAAAUCAUUUAUAUUCGAACUCUGAUGUCUGUAUCAAUGUAAUCAUCUGCAUAUUUGUGACUUCGAAGGCUCACUCUGUCUAUUUAUUAAUCUAUAAUUCCACCCAAUUUAUGAGAGUUGUCUAACAGAAAGAGCUACAUAGAGUCGGUCAUGAUGCUCUAAAGCCGGUUUUGUAAAGCACUUCUCAAUACCUUGCAAAUUUGAAAUUUGAAUUUAGUGAAAUUUACUCCUUGUCUGACUUAUGAUUUUGUGAGUCAUUUACAAAAGAUAGAGGAUAAAAGAUACUUCCAAGAAUGUUCCAGACUGUAGAAGACUAGAAACACUACUCUACCUCGUGUGAUCUGUAAAAUGCUACAUUUCUAUUUACAAUUAGCUCCUUGGCACAGGGAGCGGAAAAGAGUAUGCCUGAUUAUGAUGCUCUUCUCCACAGUUAUGAUAUGUGGUACUCAGAAAUAUAUCAUAUUAUUAUUAUAACCAUUAUUCACAGGUUAAUGCUUCCCAUACUGAAUAUUCAGAAAUUUACAGGUGAUGGAGUCACAUCAAGCAGGCAAAUUGGACACAUCUGGUACAGCUAAAGCUGUCAUUUCUUGCUUUCAGAAAUUGGGUGUCUCAUUUAAUUUAAAGCAGGUAUGGGCUUUUGCGAAACAUAUUUGUACUCGAACAAUAAAAUAUUCCUUUCAUUAUGUUCAAUAUGUUAUCGGUCGCUUGAAAUGUUUGUUUUUAGAAACUUAGUCUUUGCCAUCAGUUUUGUCAGAUCUUAUUUAUUUAUUUGUUGUAUUGUCAACAUUUGGCAAAUACAUGGCUUUUUGUAAGCAAAUAUGUUUGAUGCUGAAUCUCUGCUUCUAUGUUUGCAUUUCUGUUUGAGAGUCACUAGUGAUAGUUUAUGAACUAUCCUAGUAUCUUAAUGCUUCAACCUUCCCUGUUCAUGUCUUUUUCUUUUUUAGGUGAUUUAGCAUACCAUGUGCAACAACACUUUUUCUUUUGAUUGUUCUCACAUUUACAAUGAGGUGCUGUAGUAGAGUCUUAUUUUCCCUUUUCUUUUCAAUUAUGAGGUGAAUAUCAGUGAAAUUGAUAUAACUAAAGCUUCCUAUUUCCAUAUUUAGUUUGAUCGUAGAUAUCUAUAGGCUCUUGACUUAUGUAUUAAUACAUUCUUGUUAUAUCCUUGUUUGCAUUUAGCUUUCAAGCAUUUUGCGCAAACUCGGUACUUGGUUUAUGUUAGUCAGGCUCUGUUUCUUUCUGAAUAGUAUGUGGCUAUCUUCGGUGGUCUUUGUUGUGUCAAUUACUCUUAUUAAUUUGCAGAAUGUGCCUAUAUUUUCCAUCAUGAACUUUAAUACAUCUCAUAGCAUUUAUGAUUUUAGUUUUGAUAGUUUCCUUUUAAUGUGUAUUCUCAAAAACUCACUUUUUUCUUCUUUUUCUUAACGUUACCAGAUAAAAAAGAUUAGAGACCCUAAGAAGCAACUUGACAUGGUGGGUGUCCCUGAGGAGUACCUCUCAGGCCAUGCAUUUCACUUAUAUCAUCUCACUUCGCCUGACGAAACGUAAUAUUUUUUUUUUUUGUCAUCUUAUUAGUCGCUGAGCUAUGUUACGAACGAAUAAUUCCUAUUACCUGCUUAUUAAUGUAAAUUUUUAAUGUUGCUGCCAGUGUUUCAUUUGAGUUCCAGCAUAACGUCUGCGGUCGUUCAAUAUAUGCUGAGGGAACUGUUGAUGCUGCUAUGUUUUUGUAUAAGAAGGUCUCCUGAUACUUCAUUCUUUAAUUUUCUCCUGUAAAUUCUAUUAAUUGCAAUUUAGUCCCCAAUCUUUCACUUAAAUAAUAUUUUCCUGAACUUAACCUAAUAUCAGUUUUGCAUACAAACUAACAGGCCCUAGAAAUUAUCGACAGGAGGAGUUAUUAAAAGAAAAGUGACAAUUAAUACAUUUUACCUUUUUCUUUAUGAGUUCGCUCCCUAUUUUCCGUUGUACAAGGAAGAGCAAUCCGACACUCAUAUUUUUUUGCCAAUGCAGGUUCAGUCUAAGGCCGAUAAGAAAAUAUACAACAUGAUCGAUGUCCUGCGAGAAGGUAACAUGCGAUGAGCCCUGGUUAGUCCAUUUGCUGAUACCGCAACUUCGAUCUGAAACCUUUGUAGAAUUUUGUGAUAUUUAAAUUUUACUUAGAUUUGCGGCAACAUGUGUUAGUGUUUUUCUGGCACUCCUUAUAAUUUUUUUUUUUUUUUUUCGUUUCAAAAAUUUUGUACCUCCCAAACUAUUUUAUCGAAAUCGAGUGGUAGAUUUACCUCUCUAUUGAAAAUAUUGGACUCAGAAUCAACUUUCAAUCCCUUGAUUUCUUCGUUUACGGUGAGGGGUAAAUUGCACUACAACUUCAUCUCAAAAGUUUCAAUUUGGUCUUGGAACUUUUAAAUUUGAUUUUGAAAACCCUGAGGUCCUUUCAAAUUUGAUUUUGAAAACCCCGAAUAUUUUAGCCCCCGUACUUCCAACUAUAUUUAUUUUAGUCCUUACCUUGGAUUGAAACUUGUUUCUUGCGGCCUGUUUGUUCACCAGCCUGUUUGUACACCAUUAAUUUGUUGAAUGUUUCGUCCAUCUCAUAUUUCAAUUCAACGAUUCAAUGUGUAAAUAAAAAAAAUAUAUUUGAAGUCGAUGGAUAAUUGGAUUGAAAUAUAAGAUGGGAAAAAGGGUCAGGAUAUAUGUAUGGGACAUAAAUGUGCAAAUGGGUUGGGUGUGGGCGGUGCUUUGUAAUAACAAAACCCACGGGGAAUAAAUUGGAAUUUUUUAAAAAAGAGUUUAAGGUCUCUAACCUUAGAUUUAAAUCGAAACAAAAUAUUAUUAUCAAAUGUUUUAAGGAUCAAAAUGAAGAUUAACUGAAAUUUGAGAACUAGUGGUGUAAUUUAGCCUAUCAAUUACGCUUUAUUCCGGUGUAUUUUUGGACGAGAAAGAUGGUAGUGGAUAGUUUAUUGCUUACAAUCUUAUUAUCUAAAACAUUUAUUUGGCAGCAAAAAAUUAAAAACUUAAAGCCUCGUGUAGUAUCGUUUUUCGUAUUUUAUUAUUAUAAGUAAAAUUUAGUAUAUCAAAAGGUAUAGAAGUGGGUAGUAAAUUACUUGUUCUUUUCAGCUAAAAUAUUUAUUUAAUAAUAAAAAAUGAAAACUUAGAAAAUAUUUUUUUUUGCUUCCAAAUUUUUUUUAAAUAAGUAGGCGUCUUAUACUUGGACGGAUACAGUAAACUAAUCAACUAUAACAACAACAAAAAAAAAAAAAAAUUUCUCGGCAGAUUAAAUUAUACAGAAUUAGUGUUAAAAAAAAAAGAAGACAAUAAUACCAGAUGAGAUGAGGUUUAAAAAUUACUUUUUUUUUCUACCUUCUAAAGGGGAUACAGUGUAAGUUAACCAGCUAUAAUAACAAAACAAAAUUUUUUCUUUUAAUAACAACACAAAAUUUUUUGUGGCACUAUUUUGGGGGCCUUUAUGAAAAAAGCCGGUAAAAAUAAUUAUUGGUGGCAUUUUUAAAGUACUGCCCUUAAUAAAAUUUAUAUGAGAGCUCGCUUUUUUUUUUUUUCGAAAAUUGUAGGUCAUCUCACAAUUCACAAAAAGCUGCCGGAUUAUUCGCGAGCGGAAUUUUUUGCCAUUAUCUUUUAAUUGGUCGCAGCAAGAGAAAAAAAAAAAAAAAAAAAAAAAAAGCCCUAGCUGCUAUCAUCCAAAGCCCUCUUCGUCCCAUUUGGGAGUACCCUCCCUUUCUCUGCGAUUCCACCUCUCUCCCUCUCCUCCUCCUCCUCCUCCUCCGAUGGUGCCUCGGCUCCCUCUUCUUCUCACGCGCUGCUGUGCUCUAAGUGCUCUUUCCGACAACCCUUGCUGCUCUACCCCUUCGCCGUUGUUGAUCCCCUGCCCAACCACUAGGCUUCGCCUACUGCCGCGCCUACCUCUGCCGCCUCCGCCUCUGCUGCCGACUCCGCCCCCCGGCUUCCGCACCCCCUCUCCUCUUCCUUGUUGCUCCCAACCUCGUCCUCCUCCUCUGGGGCCCACUCUGCAUCCGCCACUACCGCCACCCCCAAAACCCUAAAAACGAAAAAAAAAAAACAAAAAAAGGUAAAAAGUGGAGAAAUGCUCCCUCUACUAUCCCCACUACCACAGUUUCUUCUUUUGCUUUCCACUCAAACUUUUUGCAUGUACUGUAAUUUAUAGCUUCUAACAAGCAAAGAAUAUAAUUAGUAGUGGGAACAAAAAAAUAAUUUGGUCUUUUCCUAUUUUAUUAGGGUUUUUAACUAUACCAUUGGCAUUUGGUCCCUCAUUGCUGGUGAUCUUUGCCUGAGCCAAAGAUAAACCACACAAAGAAAACUAUCAGCCGGCAAGUGAGCAUUCCAUGCUAUGUGAUGCCGAGGUCACCCUCAUUUUCUUCUCCUUUUUUGCAUAGUAUCUCUAUGCUUCUCUAUCUUUUAUUCCUUUUUGAAUGUGAAGGCAUGGUGUAGGGAAUUGGAAAUUUAUCAAGCAAUGCCAUCCUUCAUUAUUCAAAGAGAGAACAGAGGUAUUAAGUCAUUUCUAUUGUCCAAUUAAUUUGUUCUUUAUACAUAGCUUUGACUAAUAAUGGAUGGUGCAUGGGGAUCAAGAUUGGAUGCAAGAACAUAUUGGGAUCUACUAAUUUGACUGUGAAAUCUUUUGAGUCUCAACACAUCGGGAUAAAAAAAAUGUGAUGCUGCCUCGAACUUUUAGAAGAUUGUAAUUUGAUUCUGGAACUUCAAUGCUUCAUAAUUAGGCUGCGAUUGCAUGAUUUAUGGACCUUAGGUUCUUUAUUUCAUAAUUAGGUAUUUCAUAAAUAGGCUGCGAUUGUAUGAUUUAUGAAUCCAAGUCUCUUUAGCAGCGAAAUCUUCAAACUUGAACUGAUUCUCUACCCCCUUUUGCUGCACUACAACAAAAUUAGUAUUUAGUGGCAAUUUAAUUAAUAGCGGCGAUUAUCCAACCGCCACUAUUACUUAUUAUCUAAUUGUACUUUAGCAGCAAUUAUUUUAAAAUAUAUAUCUUUACCAACUAAUAUUUAUAUAUCAAAUAUAUUUACAUUGAACCCCAAUACAACCUUAACCCUAACCCACAACAGAACCUAACCCACACCCCUCUCCUGCAUCGACCUCACAUGAGCACCCCCACCUUCAACCCCUUCUCUCCCUCAACCCCUCCUCUCCGAGCUCGAGCUCCUUCACCUCUACUCAUCCCCUCCUUCCUCAUCCUCUGCGUCCUCUCCAAGCUCCGAUCCUCGACUCGGCGAUCCCCAAAUCUCCCUUGCUAUCUUCCCCGACCUACUCGGCCCCGCGAGGACAAUCCUUGACCCGGCGAUCCGAUCCGAGCCCUCGGCGGUGCCGCUUCUCGAUUCCUCUUCUCGAUUCGGUGCUCCGAUCCAUUGGUAAGAGCUCUCAAUCUCAAAUCACUAGUUUCGUACUCGAAUCCGUAGUUAUCUAUUAUUUAUAGUUUUUACCUCCGAUCAAUCGUGUAUUCCUCAUUAAAUUUGAUAGUUGGUUAGUUGGUUUCAUUUGUUUUGCUUAGAUUUGCCUUUGGAGAUAACGAUUUAGUUUUCAAAUAGCUUGGAUGAAAUUGAAAGUGUCUAUGUUGAGUGCUCAUUUUGUUCGGUCACUGCGAAUUCAUGUUGGAUGUUCUGUUAAUCAUCUUCUAAUUCAUGUUUGAUGUUUUGUUAAUCAUCUUCUCCUUAAUAAAAUUUUGACCUGACCACAAGGAAGUUCACAUCUUGCUAUUUCUUGGCUAAUCAGACCAUUCAUGAUUUUAUUUUUUAUUUUUUUGGGGGUUCAUAUUUGGAAUGUGUGCCUUUUGUUCCUACCUGUAUUUUUCUAAUAGAAGGAUCCUCUUUAUCAUGUUCCUUUUAUGUUGUUUUACAGUUUUGCACCUUAGAAAAUUUUAUCUGUGCAACUAGUUGUUUCAAAUAUAUGGUUCAAUUAAUGAUUUCUACCUUGACUUGUCUUAACUUAAUGCAGAUGCAUCGAUCCUUGUAAGUAGUUCGAGAGCUUUAUUGUCAUGUUCCCCGAGUACAUCAAGCUUGCAUCUAUGAGUUGCUUUUGUGGGUACAAUUUCGUCUGCUUCUCAUUAUAUUUGUUUUUCUUCUCCUUGAGGCAUCACUUGAAUCUGGUAGUAUAAUUUAAUUGAUAUGUGGCAGAGGAGCGGCUCCAGGAAUCGAAGGACAUCCUCGCCAAGUAUCCUGAUCGAGUGCCGGUGAGCUCGUUUGUUCGAUCUUUCGUUCGUUCAUUUGUCCCCCCCCCCCUUUGUUGUUAAUUAAUCAUAUUUGGAGUUGAUUUUGUAGGAAAAUAGUGCCCGUUCUGUUGUAAAACUUAGUUAUUUGUUUGUCUACUAUGUUGGGAUUAAAAAAAAAGUUGAAAAUAUUUUUGCUUAGAUGUUCGGUGUAAAGAAAAUAAACUUAAAAAAUAUCACUACAAUGCCAUGCUUCAUGUAGAAUUAGUGUUAGGGCUGAUUCACUCAUGAGUAAAUGUAAGCUCUUAAUCCUUUUUUUGACUUACAAAACAAGCUACUUCCAAAAUGCUUAUAAAAAAUACUAUAAGAUACAAAACCUGGGUCGAUAUAACAUUAUCAUUUUUUCUGUCUUAAAAUACAAACAAAUAUGCGAAAAUAAAAUCCCGUGGGUUGUAAAGUUAAAUUUCAAUUCCAAAUCAUAUGCAGCUCAACAUAAAGAGUCAUAUAUUUUAGAAACAUUUAACAAAACAUCUACUUUCCACUUGUCAUGAGAACCGGUCUAUGUCAAUAUCAAGUUGUUAUAAAGGAGCAGCACAAAAAAGGACAAGAAUACUAAGAUGACACAUUAUCCAAUCUAAAUUCUCACACUAGCUAGUAGAUAACCUCCUUCUAUAGCACUAAUGCACAUAUGCUACAUCAGAGUAAAAGAUCUUUUCUUUUAAAAGCAAAACAUAAAAGAUCUGUCAAAUUUAUUCAUUGGAAAACAUUAUUGGCUAAUUACAAAUCACCUCACGUUCUGUCAUAUUUUUAUAGUUUUGUGCUGCCGUUAGUUUGUGAAUGGAAGACUGGCUUUUCAGAGGGCUUUUUUUGCAUCAGGGGGAAGGUCGAGUGUUGUUGUUUUGGAACAUUAGUUCAGGUACAAUUUGCGACACGGACCCUUACAAUACUUUUAUUUAAGUCAUGAUUUUUGUUUCCAUUUCUAACAAGAAUGUUUUAUUUGUAUAGAUCUGGGCAUGGGACCACCUGCACAUUGGCCGCCCUGAGGUAGUAGGAGCGCAGCCUGAGCUUGUCGACAUGCCACUAGGGUAUCGGUAAGUAUUUUUUCAUUUUAAGUUUUCUAUAUACUAUUUAUUCAUAACUAAUAUGAUAUAAAUGAAUCAGGUAGAAUACCAGGCUGGCUUUUCGGGACAAUGUUAGGACUACCGACAUUGAGUUUUAUCAUGAUCAGCUGGAUCAGCAGUUAGAGUCUUAGGUAAAUAAAAGUUACUCAAUCUGUCGAAUUUUGUAUUCAAUGCUAAUCUACUUAUUUUAUGGAUUGAAAUUUUGUUUUAGUUUGAAUUCUAGGAGGUCAGUACAGUAGUUUAAGGAACAAACAUAGAGGCAACUAGUCCAAAAACUACAGGAAGAUAUGGUUCUGACGUGAUAUGGAACUAGUUCAAAAACUGCAUCAAGUCAACAAAAUAUGGUUUCAUUAUUAAGUGAUUUGACGUGUAUGCAACUAAUUCAAGUACUUGAGUAAUAAAGAAAUCGAAAUUCAAUUAUCAUUCCAUUUUGAAGCCGAAAGCGUCCUUUUGGCUAUAUCUUCUCGUAGGCUCGGCGGAUUGCCGAACCAACUUCGCCAACGUGUUCGCUUUACCUUCAAUUACGUUUGCACGCGAGCAAUUUCAAGUUAGGGUCUCAAUCCUGCAAAAGUGCAUUAUCGAGCUUAGUGAAUACACUUUACUAGUUUCAACUUCCAACUAGUUUCAACUUCGAACUUCAUAUUAACUAGUUUCAACUUCCAACUGCCGAUUGCCAACUAGCUUCAACUUUCAACUAGUUUCAACUAUUUAUGAUAACAUAGUUUCAACUUUCAACUAGUUUCAAGUUCCAACUGCUUAUUAUAUAUAUAUAUAUAUAUAUAUAUAUAUAACUUUUCUAAGUUUCAUAACAAACAUGGCUUAAUAAUCAAGAAACCCAUGUCAAAUCCCUUUUAGGAUCAAUACCAUGAUCCUUAACAAAAGAACAGUGUAUAAUUACCUUGGAUUUUCUUGCUGUUACAUUUCUUCUCACCUCCACUUCCAUCUUGCUCCAAACCCCUCUAAAUACUUUCUAAACUCAUAGUUAACUAGCCCCACACUUCCAAAUUAACUCGGGGACACCACACAUUAUCCUCAAGCCUCACUUUGAUCUAUUUAAUCAAAGUUAGCGUCGCAAUCCGAAAAUUCCUUUCUCACUUUGUUCGUGCCCAAUUCGCGCCCAGACACUCAUUUAUCUCCGGAUUUUAUUUUCAGACGUCCAAAAUCACUCAGGAAAGAUGCCUAACUAGCUCCAGCUUCACUUCGAUCCUCUAGCUCAAAGUUGACAUCGCAACCUAAGGUUUCCAUAUAUUACAACACCAAUAUAUGUUCUUUUCUUUCAAUACUUUGUCAUAUUUUCAUAAUAAUCAUAUGUAUUUUUCACAAUAGUUCAUUUUUGAUAACACGAGACCAACAUAGUUUAAUUUUGAUAACUAAUCAUAUGUAUUUUUCACAAUAUAUUACAUAGAGGCUUUAUGACCACACAGUGUUAGAGACGCUCCCACCUUUUUGUCUGGCGGGGUUUCAGGUUUGGCAAUCGAGGACUACCUCAGUCUUCUUCCACAUUAUUGAGCUCCAUCAUUCCGAUCGUGUGCUUCGACAGUUUGGACUAUUACAGCAUAUACCUGAAGCAGUGCUUGCUAUACCUCGCAUCAAUUCAUGAGGCAGAGCAGAGGCGGAUUGGGCGGCAUACCAUGCUUCAUACAUUCAGCGUUGGUAUGAUAGAUUUGUAGAUAUAGCAGAGGUGACCUCUGAGACAGAUCCAGAUCCGAUACGACCUACUACUGUUUACAUGCAGUGGUAUUGGAUGACACCAGGAGGUGGAUAUCUACACCUGUACAGCAGCCACCACUCGCGUAUCAGCCACGUGGGCACGUCAAGAGAGUAUUGGUAUGAUUGUAAUAUAUAAUAUCUUUUUAUAUUUAGUUUUAUAUAUAUAAGAAAGUUUCGUAUAAUUUUUUUGAUUGUGCUUUUAUUUCAGGUCGAUAUCGUGCAGAGAUCACAUUAUACGAUCAGACGUGUCCUGCCAGAUAUUUCAGGAGGUAGAGUAUUAGAUGCCAUAUCACAGGUUGCCGAUCAGAUAGAAGCAGUUUUGGAGAGUUUACCCACGCUUCCACACUCUGUACCUUCACGACCAGCAAUACAACUAGGCAGCCUUAGCCCUUUUUUUGGCGCCAAAAAUCAAAUCAAAAUACAUUUCACAACAUCGGCAUAUUUUUGGAGCAAAAAAUAAAAUCAAUACACAUCACAACAUCACAACAUAACAAUACAAUACAGAUAUCUAAACGCAACAGUACAAUACAACAUCACAGCAUCACAACACAACAGUAUAAUAUACACAUCACUACCAACAGAAUCUCAAUAAAUUAUCAAUACCAGAUAAUCACAACAGAAUAUCCAAAAUUAAAGCAAGUUUUACAAUAAUAUAAAAAUAUAAUAUCACAUUCUCCUCCUACCCCCUCGACCACGUUGCCUACCACGUCCGCGACCACGAUCAACACCAUGCUCAUCAAAAGGCUCUAAGAUUUCCAACUGGUCCAGAUGCUCGAUAGCAGCACCCUCAAUAACCGGCUCAAUCACAACAGUAGCAGGUGUCGGUAGUAUGUCUGGCCGUGGAGGAGCUGAAGAGGAGGGCUGAUUUGUACCGAUAGACCUCAUAUGUCGUCGGCGCCUAUAAUAAGCAAUAUCAAUUGCUCGAGGUGGAUCCUGUGGUACUGGUGCUGGUACCGGGUCCAUAACAUCAGUAUAAGGUGGCUCCUCUAUAGGUGAUGAUCGCCUUGGUAGACUAUAUACUAGUGCAUGGCCGGACGUCGAUGCUUCACCAUAGUUUGCUGGUCGUGGAGAUACAGAGUGUGGAAGCGUAGGUUAACUCUUCAACAUUGCUUCCAUCUGAUCGGCAACCUGUGAUAGGGCAUCUAAUACUCUACCUCCUGUAAUAUCUGGCAGGACACGUCUGAUCGUAUAAUGUGAUCUUUGCACGAUAUCGACCUGAAAUAAAAGCACAAUAAAAAAGAUUAUACGAAACUUUCUUGUAUAUAUAAAACUAAAUAUAAAAAGAUAUUAUAUAUUAUAAUCAUAUCAAUACUCUCUCGACGUGCCCACAUGGCUGAUACGCGAGUGGUGGCCGCUGUACAGGUGUAGAUAUCCACCUCCUGGUGAUCGUCCAAUACCACUGCAUGUAAACAGUAGUAGCUCGUAUCGGAUCUGGAUCUAUCCCAGAGGCCACCUCUGCUAUAUCUACCAAUCUAUUAUUCCAACGCUGAAUGUAUGAAGUAUGGUAUGCCGCCCAAUCCUGAUCCGCUCUGCCUCAUGAAUUGAUGCGAGAUAUAGCAAGCACUGCUUCAGGUAUAUGCUGUAAUAGCCCAAACUGUCGAAGCACACGAUCGGAAUGAUGGAGCUCAAUAAUGUGGAAGCAGACUAAGGUAGUCCUCAAUCGCCAAACCUGGGACCCAGCCAGACAAAAAGGUGGGAGCGUCUCUAACACUGUGUCGUCAUAAGGCCUCCAUGUAAUCUAUUAUGAAAAAUACAUAUAAUUAGUUAUCAAAAUUAAACUAUGUUGAUCUCGUGUUAUCAAAAAUGAACUAUUGUGAAAAAUACAUAUGAUUACUAUGAAAAUAUGACGAAGUAUUGAAAGAAAAGCACAUAUAUUGGUGUUGUAAUAUAUAGAAACCUUAGGUUGCGAUGUCAACUUUGAGCUAGAGGAUCGAAGUGAAGCUAGAGCUAGUUGGGCAUCUUCCUCGAGUGAUUUUGGACGUCUGAGAAUAAAAUCCGGAGAUAAAUGAGUGUUUGGGCGCGAAUUGGGCACGAAACAAAGUGAGAAAGGAAUUUUCAGAUUGCGACGCUAACUUUGAUUAAAUAGAUCAAAGUGGUAUAAUAACAAAAGUCAUACGGAAGUUAUAGACAUAAUAUUCAGAUCGUUUUAAAAGCCUAGCGAAUCUCGUUGACCUGUAUUCCCACCAUGUGAAGAUCUGCUCAUCGAUGAUGUUUGCAAACAUAUGAAGGCAAUAUAAAUAUUCAUUUCAAAGCAAAACACUUAUUUAAAAAUAUUUUAUCGAAUUGGGAAUGCUUCAGAAGAACGACAAUAUACGCAUUAAAGGAAGAAUUGAAGGCUAUGGAUGAAGAAGCUUGGCUUUGGGUUACAUUUUCAUAACGAUAGGCAUAUAGGGCUAAAACUUUUAGAUGGUGUCGACGAUUUGGUAUUAAUGACAAUUAACCAAUCGAAAAGUUUAAAUGUGUGUUGAGGAGAGUUCGCGUCUUACCAAUUACAGUUUUUGUGAUGGCAACGUUUCAUCGAGUGGUGAAUUUUUUCUAAAACAUCGGCGGAGGGCACUGCAAUGUCUACGCAAUUUGUACGAAUGUUGAAACACCUAUCAAUAGCGCGAUGAGAUUUGCUUAGAGCAUAUACAGUUCGACGAUUUAGAUUUCACGAAUUGAAAGUACUUAGUAGGCGAUAAGAUGAUCAUACAAGUGAUUAUCAAUGGAAGAACGUUCUACCAUGUUCACUUUGUGUUUACAACUCACAGGAUCUCUUGUUCACACAUUUUGUCAUGUUGUUAGUUUCUACAUACAUGAACAUAGAUUAUUAUGGCUUAUAUUCUCCUUGGUAUACUGUCGUAUCCUCUUGUAAGGCUUAUGAACCGCAGUUUCUACCCGUUCCUGAUCGUCGUUAUUGGAUCGGGUCAUAUGAAUCCUCUAUAUCUGCCACUACGCGGCAGAAGAAAAAGGGACGACCUAGAUCUACGCGUAUCUAUAAUAUUAUGGACGAAGCGGCUGGAAUAGAAGGCAAGUGUAUAUCUAUAAACAGCCUGGACAUAUAAAAGACACUUGUCCUGAAAAUCAGCAAAGAAGGACCGAGAGACGUCGUCGAUAGGUUUUUUCUAUAUGAAAAAUGACACUUACUUCUUUAAUAUUUUUAUGGCUUACGGCAUAAUAUUACAUUAUGUUGUUUCUAACUCAGAUUUUAUUUGCAAAUUGCAGAUGGACCGAUCAUGCGACGAGCCGGUCUUAUUGAUACAUCUGUGUGACUAGGGCAGCCACGGCAUAGAAUCACUUUGAUUAAGAGAGGAGGUGAAUUUUUUUUAAAAUAUUCUAAUUUACAGUAAUCUUCUUUAACUUAUGUACUAAUUUUGAGCUGACAUUCACAAUCAUGCAGGGUUUAUUCUCCUGUUCAAUUUACAGAGCAUGGCCGUAAAAAGACAUAUGGCAUGCGAGCAUCCUGCGGUGUUGAACUUAUUGCGACGAGCAGGAUUUUUUACGUUUUCACGUUACCGCCUACAGCUCGAUCAGUCAUUAUUGGGACAUUAUCGAGAGGUGGCAGCGGGAGACGCAGAGUUUUAUUUGCGACACGGAGAGAUGAGUAUUAAUUGAUGGACGUCGCAGUUAUUACGGGACUCUGCGUCGAUGGUGGGGCUGUGACUGGAGGGGAUCAUAUCAGUGGGCAGAGCUUUUGCGGGUUACUUCUCGAGGAUGGUUCCGUAGGAUAUUAGGGUAGUGAGAUCAAGAUCGACUGGUUAUAUCAGGCAUUUCCAUGAUAUCCCCUUAGAUGCACCUCCCGCUAUUGUUCAAGCUACAACGAGAGCAUAUAUUCAUUUGAGAUAGGAUGUAGUUUAUUUCAAAUCCAGGGGAAUAUGGUGCAUUUGAAAUGGUUGGCACAUCUAGAGGAUUUUGACUUUUGUGGUGAGUUGGCAUGGGGUGCAGCGCGUAGCGUCAUCUUUAUGCGCGCCUUAGAAAAUGCUUACAUCAGGGGGAAGGUCGAGUGUUAUUGUUUGGGACAUUAAUUCAGGUACAAUUUGCGACACGGACCCUUACAAUACUUCUAUUUAAGUCAUGAUUUUUGUUUCCAUUUCUAACAAGAAUGUUUUAUUUGUAUAGAUCUGGGCAUGGGACACCCUCUAUAUUGGCCGUCCUGAGGUAGUAGGAGCGCAGCCUGAGCUUGUCGACAUGCCAUUAGGGUGUCGUAAGUAUUUUUUCAUUUUAAGUUUUCUAUAUACUAUUUAUUCAUAAACUAAUAUGAUAUAAAUGAAUCAGGUGGAAUACCAGACUGGCUUUUCCGGGAUAAUGUCAAGAACUACUGACAUUGAGUUUUAUGCGUGAUCGCUGGAUCAGCAGUUAGAAUCUCAGAUAAAUAAAAGUUACUCAAUCUGUCGAAUUUUGUUAUUGCAAUACUAAUCUUCUUAGGCAACCUAAAAAUCACUCCCAACUCGAGCCAUUCUCCCCCUCACAAAUUGCGAAAGCUAGCGAAAAUAAACCACCAUUGGCAUCGACACCUGUGGCAAUUAAUGCGUAGCCUCCAUAUUUUCCAUACAAAUGGGUAGCAUCGAUACUAAGUAAUGGCCGGCAAUACUCCCAACCAUGAAUCGACGGUCCAAAAGUCCAAAAGGCUCGUGAAAACAUUCUCGUAUUGCUCGCCACACUAAUAUAAUCAAUUUUUGUAAUAGUUUCUAGAUUUGUUGAUUCCAACAUAGAGAAGUAUCGAGAAAGGUAGCAGUAUGAUUGCUCCCAACUAUCGUAUAUAAUUUGUAGUGCUUUAUUCUGUGCCCGUCAAGCCUUGUUAUAUGAUAUGCUAACGUGUAACUCGCUCUAAACUCGAGCUUGAAUUUUUAUAGGACUCAUUGUAAGUCUUGCCUUCAGUAUAGGUAGUAUAAAUUGACAUAUGAAAGAUGAUGUACAGUUUCGAUGUCUUGUAUUCAGAAUUAGAACCAAACAAGUGUGCGGACCUUUAUAAGUCUUUACUUUAAAAAAUGAACUACCUUUCGGUUGAGAGGCAUGUAAUCUCCAUGGGUAAGAAUCGACCACACAUUUCACAGUAUAUUUAGUUGUAUUUGACUUAACAACUUUAAGUUGCACAUUAUGUGCAAUAUGCCAAGCAUCCAAAGCGUUCACUAGAGAUGAUUUAUCAGAAAAAGUCCGAUUAGCCCAUGCUUUAUCACUUGGAGGACCCUGAUCAAUAUUUUGUUCAUUAUAUACAUUAACAAUAUUUUGAUUAAUUAUUUCAUUUUCCAGACGAAACCGUUGUCAUUGAUCUUCACAUUCCUCGAAUUCUACCGGGUCCGGUACAUCUUCGUUGUUGACAUUUGAGUUAUCAAUCUAUUCAACACCUUCAUCUCGAAUGGCGCAUGCGAGUGCAUUUAAGCCACCGUCAUAAUUAGGAUCUAAAGAACACGGAACAAAGAAUUCCUAGUCAUCACUAGAAUCAGCAUCAAUUCGCCCUUGAUCCUCUUCAUCAGUUUCACUAACAUACUCCUCAUCACUUCGAAUUACGUCCUCAUUAUCAGUUGUAGUUACGACCCGAUUGGUCCAUUCACGAUGAGCAGAUGAUGGACCUUCAUUUUGAUAAGGAGGGAUAGUAUUUCUUACUUCCCAAGUCGACCAUUUAUGAACACUAGAUGAUUAACCUUCAUUUUGAUAAGAAGGGAUAGUAUUUCUUACUUCCCAAGUCAGCCAUUCAUGAACACUAGAUGGUCCUGGACCUGCAUCUAGAUAAGUAGGGAUAGUAUUUCUUACUUCCCAAGCCGGCCAUUCAUGAACACUAGAUGAUAGACCUUCAUUUUGAUAAGGAAGGAUAGUGGUUCUAACUUCCCAAUCCGUCCAUUCAUGAACAUAAGAUGAUGGACCUUCACUUUGAUAAGGAGGGACAGUAGAUCUGUAGAGAUAUAUUAGAUUAACUAUUCACAUUGGUUUUUCAUGUAACUAAAUCAUACAAUCACCUACCAUUCAUUUUGAUCAACCGACGGAGACGGAUCCAUCAUAGCAGAUGGCAAUGCUGCACUAACUGGCAGAGAUGGGACUCCAAACUCUCUGUAACACUUAUAAGACAAAGUUAUUAAUUUCGCGCACCUAAAUUAAUUGAGAAAUCACGAAAAAGAUUUAUAAAGAUCAUUAUUUUAUAUCUUGAUGUACGAACUCGUUCGCGAUUGACGUAAUUCCUUUGAUCAUUGCGACUGCGACGCAUUUCCGUUUGAUAAACGGUAUUUGGACGGUCGUGUGUCAUCGACACAUCUUUCUCCAUGAAUAAUUUUAUACAUCCAUGGAAGGGAAAAAUACUCAUCACACCAGAUAGUGUAUUGUCAUUUGAUACGUUAACUAAUUCUCAUUCGCCUUCCAUUGGACAUUUCACUGUGAUGCGUAGACGAUCUUCCACUCGAUCAUAAUUAGUAACAUUGUAUAUUUUCAUCCCUAAAUCCCGAAAUGAGAUAUUGCGUCGGUCCGCAACCAAUUCUUUACGGCCAUCAAUAUGUCGUGGUACAUUAUUGUUCUCGACAAAAUUUCCAUCCCAAUGGAUAUAGAAAGGAACACAAUCGCCAGAUAUAGAGUUCUAAAGUAAUAUAAUAAAAUAUAUAAAAAUAUUAAACUCAAGACAUACUAUAUUUCUAACAUACAACAAAAGAGAUGGUAAGAGAUGCUAUUACCAUUGUACAAGCACGGUUGGCGCGACUACUUUGCCAAUUAAGAGCUAAGGAUUGACCUGUGACAAAGACACCGAGAACA
rnacentral:lncRNA from 1 species